rnacentral:lncRNA from 1 species
AAAAGAUUUAGACAUAAUUUUGAAUAGAUGAAUAAAAUCUAGCUAUUGAGUGCUUACUACGUGUCAGGCACUGGGCAAUGUUGAUGAUACCCGGUUGACAAAUGACCCCUGCCUCCCUGAAGUUUAUAGCCCAGCCCAAGAGCUGUCUCUAGGGAAUAGCAAAGGUCUGUACCCAGUGCCCUGAUCACUGUGCAUACCCUUAUCACAGCAUGUGUCCUCCUGCACUGUAAUUGCCCCUCCACGUGUCUGCUUAGAUCUAACUUUUGACCAAGCAGCUCUUAGAAGCAUGAGGCUCCUAGAGAUGAGAGGUUUCUAUAAAAACUAGAGGUCUUCCCCACUUCCCCUCCAAGAGACUGAGCUAAAAUUUGGAUUUGUGCCUGUUCCCCAUUUCAUAUUGAUUAUUUCAACAAAAAGUAACCCUUAAGAGCUAUUAAACCCUAUUAAAUAGGCUAUUAAAGCUUAGGGUGCACACUCAGUUAUGUUAGUGUAUUCGGAAGGGGUUUCCAUGUGCUUCAUGUAAGUUACUCAGCAUUUUAAAUAUGCCUUUUUCAUUUGUAGGGGCAAUGGCAAGAAGCUGAGAGCAGGCAGAGGAGGCAACUGUGCCCAUCAUCUUCCUUCUAAUUCUGUAAAGGAAGAACCAAAUUGCCUACUGUUUCAAAGAACAUUGUUUUUUAUUUCCUUGGUACCAAAUCAAUAAACGUCUUUCCAGCACAACAGCUGUUGCUUAAUGGCCCCAAAGACUUAAUGUGCUGCCUAAAUUGAACACAGUUCAGUGUCUACACCAAGUGGGCCCUCAAGUAAUGUUGAUGGAUUGGUUUUCUCACAAGCAGUAAAAGCUCCUUUUAUAGAGAUGGAUUCAAUGAGGUUAAAAUCAAUAAUUUAAGAGCAACGUGUGUUGAAUUCUAUGUGGCAAUACAACAGUCUGUAUAAAUAUAAGAACUACAUUUAGAAUUGUAAUUUAAAUUAAAAAAAGGAUGUCUUCUAGUUAAUACUAGAAGAUUCCCAACAAUUUUGAGUGAUAAUCUAAGCAUACAAGAGUAUAAAUUUGGAUGAUUCAGUAUAAAUAUUCGGAGAGUGAUAUUGGAAUGAUUAUCUA